AUGAAGACCUGUAUGAAUGGCAUAACGAGGGCUUGACUGUCUCCUCUUUCAAGUCAAUGAAAUUGAUCUCCUCGUGCAGAAGCGGGGAUAAUUCCAUAAGACGAGAAGACCCUAUGGAGCUUUAGACACUAAAGCAGUUCACGAUUAUACUCCUAGUAAAAAGGACAUAACUUGAAUGAACCCUGCCCUAAUGUC
rnacentral:rRNA from 1 species